CCUAUGGAGUGUACAAGAACUUGCGAGUAGAUUAUGAGAAAUCAUGUCAAAAGCAUACACGAUGAAAUAGGAA
ncrna:unclassified sequences RAGATH-18 RNA